rnacentral:rRNA from 1 species
CGGGGUGAGUAACGCGUGGGUAACCUGCCCUGUACAGGGGGAUAACAGUUGGAAACGGCUGCUAAUACCGCAUAAGCGCACGGCAUCGCAUGAUGCAGUGUGAAAAACUCCGGUGGUAUAAGAUGGACCCGCGUUGGAUUAGCUAGUUGGUGAGGUAACGGCCCACCAAGGCGACGAUCCAUAGCCGACCUGAGAGGGUGACCGGCCACAUUGGGACUGAGACACGGCCCAA